GGACCCGCACAAGCGGUGGAGCAUGUGGUUUAAUUCGAUGCAACGCGAAGAACCUUACCUGGUCUUGACAUCCACGGAAGCCCGAAGAGAUUUGGGUGUGCCGCAAGGAACCGUGAGACAGGUGCUGCAUGGCUGUCGUCAGCUCGUGUCGUGAGAUGUUGGGUUAAGUCCCGCAACGAGCGCAACCCUUGUCCUUAGUUGCCAUCAUUAAGUUGGGAACUCUAAGGAGACCGCCGGUGACAAACCGGAGGAAGGUGGGGAUGACGUCAAGUCAUCAUGGCCUUUAUGACCAGGGCUACACACGUGCUACAAUGGCAGGUACAGAGGGAAGCCAACCCGCGAGGGGGAGCCAAUCCCAGAAAGCCUGUCUUAGUCCGGAUUGGAGUCUGCAACUCGACUCCAUGAAGUUGGAAUCGCUAGUAAUCGCAGAUCAGCAUUGCUGCGGUGAAUACGUUCCCGGGUCUU
rnacentral:rRNA from 1 species